AUUUUAUUUUUAUUUUUAUAUUAGAAGUGAGAGUUGAAGAGGACGAACAUGGCUACAAUUUGUUGUACAAAUAGUAUCCAGAAUUGUACUGUCAAAUGUGGGACCAUUUUUAUUGGCUUUGGCUUUGGCUUUUGUGGACCUGUUUAAUUGGCUAUUGAACAGGUGUAGGCUUCAUUUUCCAGAAAAUUACAAGUAUGACACUCAACAAAGGGUACAUCGGAUGGUUGUAUAGAAAAAUAGUGUUAAAAAACGUUCUCACUUCCCAUUAAACCCUCGCGAACGAAUAUAGAACUUGGAAUGUUCCAUUUCCCAUUUUCUUGCAUUUGUUUAUUUCUUGAAUUUCCUUGUAUAAAUUUGUCAUGACUUUCAAGAUUUGAUGCUUACAUUGUAAGGGUCUUACGUGAUGUUUUUAAUUGUGGAGAAAUUAUAUCCAAGAAUUAUACUAAUCAGUCCAUAAACCUUGCCUACUGUAUUUUUUAUCUUGGGUACAUUUAUAUAAAUCUUAUUGAAAUUAUAUGACGUUGUUUAUGUUCUGCCGUUGAUGUAUCUCAAUCUUUUGAACAGUGAAUGCAUCUUAGCAUAGUUUUGAUCAUUGAUGGUCUCUUUGAAUAUAACCGCUCUAUUUGGGAUCCCAUUUUUAGGUGGGAAGUCUCAAAAUGGAAAUAAAGAUGCACUUUGAAGAUCUUGACGCUAGAAUUUGUGAUACAUCCCUCCUCAGUUGCACACUCUUUGCCACCUUUUGGAAUAAAUUUUGAGAGGCUUUUUGUAGCUAGAAGGUAAUCGCCCUCGAAAAUUUGACUAAAAAGCUCAACUUUUAGUCUUUCCCAUAAAUCGUUCUAACAUUGACGGGUUACUGCUCAAGCUAAGACUGAAAUCUAAUCAAUGAAAUGAGGUCUUUUUUUGCAAGGACUACUCUUUCAGCCCCAUGAUUUUUGAUAGUAGUUACCUAUUUGACAAUUUCCAUAGUUGUCCAAUCGACUAAGUAUGUUGGAUGUUUGUAGAAGUAAUUAAAGGAGUCAAAGCAGGGAAAGUUGGUGUUCCAACAAAAGCAGAAGCUAUUAAAAAGGAUUCUGUCAUUGAAAAAACUGAAAUAAUCAGUGUGAUAUGCCCUAAUGAAGAUAUUAAAACAAUUGAAGAGAUCCCCUUAAAUGGAAGAAAAGUAAAGCAAGAUCAGUAUAUAUUGUAACUGAUCAAUUAUGUUUCGGGCUGCUUCUGGACUCCUUAACAAACCAAAAAUACAGAUUGUUGAUAUUGAUGCUGCUGAUGUUGAUAAUCACUUCGCUGCUGUGGAAUAAGUUGAGGAUAUUUACAACUUUUAUAAUCUUAUAGAGGUAUGGUGAAGCUCGUCUGUCUCUAUUUUGAUGUUGGGUAACCUUAUUGUUAUAUUUACAUUCCAUGCCUGCAGCUUAGUUAACAAUAUCAAACUACUGUAGGAUAAAACAUGAAAAUGAAAAGAAAAAAAAAACUAUUUUAUGAAACUAGAUGCUUUCAACAAUGUCUAUGAUAAUGGAUAUUUCAUGCCCUUUAUAUACAAGUCAGCAGCAAAUGAUGCUCCAUCAAUUUCACCAAUUUUGCAUGAAGUAUUCCUCUUCUUCAUCAGAACAGAAUAUUAGAAAGGCGAGGAAUGGAAAAAGAGAGGUAUAAUACUUUCAAGAUGUUAAUGUGGAGAUCAAUUUUAUGCUCAUUGGUUAUACAAUGAGAAAGUAUUUAAUAAGUUAUUCUACAUUAUUUAAUCAAGCUAGCUUUUUCUUUUUUAUCUUCUUGUGAUACGUAUUAUACUUUUAUCUUAUAUAUGUUUUUUUGUAAACUAUGGAUCGGUAGUUUUUAGGUUUUGACUCCUCCCUUUUGUUAGAAACCCUCCUGAUAAGGCCAGCCAUUUUCAGGACAAUUGCUAUAGAAUAAGAUAUCUUUGCCUCUUUACUACAAAUUGAAGGACUUUAUGUCGGCAUUGAGAUAAGAGAAGAAAAUAUUAACAUGUAAUGAAUAGUUUGGUCCCUUAGAUUUAGUGUGUGAAAAGAUUUUUGGCUUUAUUUGGAAUGGCAAAGAUGACAAUGCAAACUGCCACAGAAAGAUUUGAGAAAAAAUUCUGUGAUGUGAUUCAACAAUUUGCUGGUGAAAGGAGGAAAAAGAAUAGGAAAUAUUGUGGUAUAAUAAUAAUAUUUAAGCUACUUCGUAUUGUGAAAUAGCGGUGAAAAUCCGCCAUGAACCUUCACUAUUAAUGUUUUCUAGAAAUUAGGUGUGACAUUCAAGUGAAUUUUAUGAAGUUGCAUGCCUUGAUAGGUCAAAAUUCUCCUAUUGUUGUUGCUCAGUGAGAUUCUAAAUAAAAUUUGACGUCCUGCGAAGUGAGCCUUCUUUUUUGUUUGAAUAGGAUCUUCUUAGUCCUUUUUUAUCUGGCCCUCUUCUUUCUUUCUUCUUCUUCUUUUUUUUUUUUUUUCUUGGCUUUUGCCUUCCAUUUGACAACAAAAAAGGUAUAGCAGCUUCUGUAGAAUUGUAACAAGUCAAUGGAUUAUGUUCAAAACUUUUCCAUGUAUGUGUUGAUUAUGUUCAAAACUUUUCCAUGUAUAUGUUGAUUAGAUUCACUUCUUAUGUGUUGUUAUGUUCAAAACUUUUUCCAUGUAUGUAUUGAUUUUGUAAAUGCUUUUUCAUGAUUUUUAAAUCGAUAAAUUUUAGCUCUAUUCAUAAUAAGUGGUAGACUUAAGGAGAGAUGGGAGCAUGCUGCUCCAAUUCCACAGCUUCAUAGUGCUAAUAGUGGUCAUUCUGUUUUGAUUGGUAUUUUGAGCAUUUCUUUUUUCUAAUUUCCUAAGUGCUUUAUAGGAAUGUAAAUGGGAGCACUACAACAUUAUGCACACCAAUGAACUUAUGUUUGAUCAUAUGCUUACUGUCUUAUACUUACCGUAUUGCCUUCUCUAUCUGUAUUGUGUUGGUUUUUGGAACUUCUUUAAGAAAAUGAACCAGACACUUUCUCGAAGGAGUAAUAGUGGACUAACUAUAUGUCACGGGACUCCUACGAGAAAAUGGUCUCCUAUAACCACUUAAGAGAACGAAAUAUUGACUUGAGUUGAAUUCUUUUACCGCUAAUAUUCUACUAUCUCAAAAGAGAGUUUUGACGUAGCAGUUCUAAAAUGGGACUGCAAAUUGCUCAAAAAGAUUUGAGCAGGCCUUCAAUGUUGAGUUAUAGCUAUUUAAUAUUUACCUAAUUGCUUUUAUUGAACCCUUUAGCUGUCCAGUUUUCAUGCCUUUUACCAUGAUGACUACGUGGAUUCACAACCAAAGAUCAGUGCCAGGGUCAGAGUAAUUCUUGUGAAUUGGCUGGUAGAAGCACACAAAAGGUUUGAGCUGAGGCUUGAAAGCCUCUACCUCACAGUUAACAUAAUGGAUGGUUUUCUAUCAGAGGUGACUGUCCUUAGAAAGGAAUUCGCUUACUUUGUAUCAGCUCAAUGCUUAUUGCCUGCAAGUAUGAAGAGAUUUGAGCUGAAGUAUACUGAAAAUAUGUUAAUCUGUUCAGUUGAAAUUUAUUAUAAUCUCCGAUUCUUUGCUAUGCAGGUGAAUGACUUCCUAACAAUAACAAAGAACACUUAUUGUCGGUGGCCGGAUACUAAUGCAGAAAGCAUUCUUGGAAAAGCUGGACUGGAACUGUCAACUAAAAGUUGCGUAAAGUUACAAUUUUCGUCCAUAUAUUAGUGAUGGCAGGGGCGUUUCUCUUGGCUUUUGCUAAAAAAUGCAACUAUAAUUGUUUCCCGUGUAGUGAUUCUUUCGGAAUCUUUCGGAAUGGAUGUGUUAUCGGUUGUUGAAACAUUUACCUUUACUUA